UACGAAGGGUGCAAGCGUUCAUCGGCAUUACUGGGCGUAAAGGGUGCGUAGGCGGUUCGUUAAGUCUGUCGUGAAAUCCCCGGGCUCAACCUGGGAAUGGCGAUGGAUACUGGCGAGCUAGAGUGUGUCAGAGGAUGGUGGAAUUCCCGGUGUAGCGGUGAAAUGCGUAGAGAUCGGGAGGAACAUCAGUGGCGAAGGCGGCCAUCUGGGACAACACUGACGCUGAAGCACGAAAGCGUGGGGAGCAAACAGG
rnacentral:rRNA from 1 species